rnacentral:rRNA from 1 species
GAUGAACGCUGGCGGCGUGCUUAACACAUGCAAGUCGAACGGUAAGGCCCUGCUUUUGUGGGGUGCUCGUGUGGCAAACGGGUGUGUAACACGAGAGUAACCUGCCCUUCACUUGGGGAUAACUGCAGGAAACGGGGUCUUAUACCGGAUAGGAGCUCCUGCCGCAUGGGGGGGGUUGGAAAGUUUCGGCGGUUGGGGAUGGACUCGCGGCUUAUCAGCUUGUUGGUGGGGUAGUGGCUUACCAAGGCUGUGACGGGUAGCCGGCCUGAGAGGGUGACCGGCCACAUUGGGACUGAGAUACGGCCCAGACUCCUACGGGAGGCAGCAGUGGGGAAUAUUGCGCAAUGGGCGGAAGCCUGAUGCAGCAACGCCGCGUGCGGGAUGACGGCCUUCGGGUUGUAAACCGCUUUCGCCUGUGACGAAGCGUGAGUGACGGUAACGGGUAAAGAAGCACCGGCUAACUACGUG